rnacentral:rRNA from 1 species
AGGGUUUGAUCCUGGCUCAGGACGAACGCUGGCGGCGUGCUUAACACAUGCAAGUCAAGGAGAAAGUUUCUUUAGGGGGAUGAGUAAACUGGCGCACGGGUGAGUAAAAUGUAAGUAAUCUGCCCUUUGGAUGGGAAUAACUACUAGAAAUGGUGGCUAAUACCGAAUAAUGCAGCGGCACCGAGUGGUGAUGUUGUUAAAGACCGAAAGGUUGCCAAGGGAUGAGCUUGCAUCUGAUUAGCUAGUUGGCGGGGUAAAGGCCCACCAAGGCAACGAUCAGUAGCUGGUCUGAGAGGACGAUCAGCCACACUGGAACUGAGACACGGUCCAGACUCCUACGGGAGGCAGCAGUGAGGAAUAUUGGGCAAUGGCCGUAAGGCUGACCCAGCAACGCCGCGUGGAGGAAGAAGGCCGUAAGGUUGUAAACUCCUGUUAGAGGGGACGAAAAAGCGGGGCAGCACCCUGCAUUGACUGUACCCUCAGAGAAAGCCCCGGCUAACUACGUGCCAGCAGCCGCGGUAAUACGUAGGGGGCAAGCGUUGUCCGGAUUCACUGGGUGUAAAGGGCGCGUAGGCUGUUAAAUAAGUCAGAGGUGAAAUCUCACGGCUCAACCGUGAAACUGCCUUUGAUACUGUUUAACUUGAGUAUGGAAGAGAGAGACGGAAUUCCAGGUGUAGUGGUGAAAUACGUAGAUAUCUGGAAGAACACCAGAGGCGAAGGCGGUCUCUUGGUCCAUAACUGACGCUGAGGCGCGAAAGCGUGGGGAGCGAACAGGAUUAGAUACCCUGGUAGUCCACGCUGUAAACGAUGAAUGCUAGGUGUUGGGUGCAAACUCAGUGCCGACGCAAACGCAAUAAGUAUUCCACCUGGGGAGUACGAUCGCAAGGUUGAAACUCAAAGGAAUUGACGGGGGCCCGCACAAGCAGUGGAGCAUGUGGUUUAAUUCGAUUCAACGCGAAGAACCUUACCUGGGCUUGAAAGGCAUAUGACGUUAUGUGAAAGCAUAAUUCCCUUCGGGGCAUAUGUACAGGUGCUGCAUGGCUGUCGUCAGCUCGUGCCGUGAGGUGUUGGGUUAAGUCCCGCAACGAGCGCAACCCCUACCAUUAGUUGCCAUCAGGUUAAGCUGGGCACUUUAAUGGGACUGCCUACGCAAGUAGUGAGGAAGGCGGGGAUGACGUCAAGUCAGCAUGGCCCUUACGCCCAGGGCCACACACGUGCUACAAUGGAUGUUACAACGGGAAGCCAAGCCGCGAGGUGGAGCCAAUCCCAAAAAAAGCAUCCCCAGUUCGGAUUGGAGUCUGCAACUCGACUCCAUGAAGUUGGAAUUGCUAGUAAUCGCGCAUCAGCACGGCGCGGUGAAUACGUUCCCGGGCUUUGUACACACCGCCCGUCAAGCCAUGGAAGCCGGGGGUACCCGAAGUCAGUGACCCAACCGCAAGGAGGGAGCUGCCGAAGGUAAAACCGGUAACUGGGGCUAAGUCGUAACAAGGUAGCCGUACCGGAAGGUGCGGCUG